rnacentral:rRNA from 1 species
UACGUAGGGCGCAAGCGUUAUCCGGAAUUAUUGGGCGUAAAGAGCUCGUAGGCGGUUUGUCGCGUCGUCCGUGAAAACUUGGGGCUCAACCCCAAGCUUGCGGGCGAUACGGGCAGACUUGAGUACUGCAGGGGAGACUGGAAUUCCUGGUGUAGCGGUGAAAUGCGCAGAUAUCAGGAGGAACACCGGUGGCGAAGGCGGGUCUCUGGGCAGUAACUGACGCUGAGGAGCGAAAGCGUGGGUAGCAAACAGG